GACACCUUCGGCCGCGGCCCCGCCCUCCCCGGCGCGGCCCGCCCAGUUCAAGGGCAGCGGGGCUGGGCGCUCCGGUCCCGCGGAAGGGGAAGGCGAAGCUGAUCCCCGCGUGGGGGCUGGUCUGCGACGUGGCGGAGGCCAGGAGCCCGAGACCGGGUCAGAGCUGACCAAAAAGCAUUCAGAAGCCAAGCCAUGGAUCCACCUGCCCGGAAAGAAAAAUCCAAAGUUAAAGAACCUGCCUUCAGAGUGGAGAAGGCUAAGCAGAAAUCUGCCCAGCAGGAGCUGAAGCAAAGACAAAGAGCAGAGAUCUACGCUCUCAACAGAGUCAUGACAGAGCUGGAGCAGCAGCAGUUUGACGAGUUCUGUAAGCAAAUGCAGCCCCCUGGGGAGUGAGCCCACCUGCAUCCUAGUCUGAGGAACGGGAGCCUCUGGGAACUAAACAAGACUUGCUGAGAACUCUGCACUGAACUUCCUAUCAAGACACGUACCCUCAACUGCUUCUGCCGCCUGCCUUUGUUCUGCCGCCAUGGACUAACCCCAGCUAAAUGCUGUCUUUCCUAAGUUGCCUGUCACGGAGUUUUGCGACAGCAACAGAGAAGCCAUUCUGAACUGCUAAAGCUUGAAGGAACAAGGAAGAUUAAUUAUAACACAAACUCUUCAUGGUACAAAAGGAGACCGAGCCUCAGAGAUGAACCGAGAUGAAGUCACUUACCAGAAAGGUAGCAACAUGAAGGCCAUGAUCCUGGCUUUGAAACUAGUAUACUAUCCCCAUCCCCAAGUAGAUCUUUCAGCCACAGUGGCCUAGCCACUUUCGAGUCUGCCUCCCCUUCCUCAGGCUAAGAGCAGGCUGUGCCCCAGACCUACCUGCUGAAGCUGCAGAAGAUGGAGAAGAGCCCCAGGACCAUGUUGGCCAGGGACAAGGCAUUAAUAACAUCCUUCCAGGAAAGUUCCGCCACCUGAGGAAUGGUCUGCUCAUGGCUCAAGAUCUGCUGACCUGUGGCCCAGGAGAGAGGUGCACAGGGUUCCCAAGGUCAAGGGGUCUUGAGAGAGUUCUCAGAGACCCCAUCCCAGAACUGCCUCUCCACAUCCUAUCUCACUGAUUGAGAAUACAAGUUAGCAAGGAGACACCAGAGAUAAGCUCAGCAGUAGGGCAGGUAAACGCGCAUGGUCAUCCCAUCCUCCCUGGUCCCAUGGCACAAACAUCCUCCCAGGAGCCUUUUGAUGCCUCAGAGGCCUCCAUCUGAGAGAUAGGGCUCGUCAUAGAUUAAUGGCUGACUAAGAGAGGCUAUGCCACUCCCUCAGAGACCUCAGAGCACACCACAACACUGGUCCCAUCUCCAACAGAGAAGGAAAUCAGCUCCACAGAAUGGAUGUGGCAGCAUUCAGUGUCUCCCCAGCACCGUCCACUGUUCUGUCCUCUGGUCUGGGCUAAUUUAAAGGGUAUACUCUUUCUUCCCCUAGUUUAUGAAUGAAGAACCUCAAGUUCAGCAAAUUGGCAACAUCUGCUCAAUGUCACACAGUAAGUUAGUAGAAGCAAACCCCGCUGCUUGAUCCUCAUCUGCUGCUGUUUCUGGCCACAGCAGGAGGUGGUUUGGGGGCUAGACCUGAGGAGGUCACUGGGAUAGCCUUACCAGAUAGCCUCUGCAUGCCAGCACAGGCCACGGCCAGGCCUUUGACCACCAUGGCAUCUCUCACAGCAGCAGAGAACCAGCUGGGCUAUCCAUCUUCACAGUCUUGACUUUGUUUUUACACUAUGCCCAAACACAUGUGCUCCUUAUACAUCAACCGUUUGUGUCCUCUCUGAGACAGACAAGCCCCACUAUUGGGAUAAAUACAUCAGUCACACAGAGUAGCCCUACCCUUGAGAUGUAUGAGUAAUUCUCCUUCUCGCAUUCAUUUUCUCUUAAAUCCUUCACUCAUUUCGAGGCUCAGGCUUGGCCUCCAAACAGGUCCUCUAGACACUUCCCAGCCCUUAAGGUCUGAGCAAGAAUUGAAACAAGACCAGAUGUGGCUGCACACAUCUUUAUUCCUAGCAUCUGGGAGGCAGAGGCAAGUGGAUCUGUAAGUUCGAGGCCAGCCUGGUCUACAUCAUGAAUAUCCAGGACAAACAAAGCUACAUAGUGAGUCCUGUCUCAAAUAAAUAAAUAAAUAAAAUCAAUAUAAAAGGGGGAUUGAGACAAACUAUGAUCUUUAAAAAAAGAAGAAAAAAAAAACUGCCACCAAGAUGUCCAGUGCUACAAGGGGCUGGACUUGGGUCUGGGACUGGAAUAUCCUAAGGCAUCACUGAAGGGCUUGUUGUUCCCAUAGGCAGCCUCAGUCACCCAAAUCAGCAACUGUGUGACCAAAGCCAUCGGGAUUAACACCUAAGACAGGAAAUGAUGUAAGACUGGGAAAGCUGGGAGUGAAAGGGAGAUUGGGCUGCACCACCCCACUCCGUCAAUCUCCACAGCCAUCUCUCCUGUUUCGAGGCAGCCAAGCCCUGCAGGACUGGAUACUCAGUGCCUGGGCCAGGCCCUGGUCACCUGCCAGUCCACCUACCAUCGUCUUGAAGAACAGCAACUCUGUCUCUGCCGCUCAGGGCAGGUGAGCAGAUGGCCAGUCUUCCAACAGACGCUGCCUCAUUUGUGCUAAUUCACAGAUGUUUUAGCCCUAAUUAAUGAUCAGUCACCUGCUGUACUGUCUAUCCCGUCCACAGAGCAUUGGACACCUGGGAUCCCCUUUGGUCCUGUGAGCUCAGUCUGGCAAGGGCUGUCAUCCCUGCUUAUAUAUCCCAAGGAAGGCAAACACAACAGAGAGAGGAAAGCCUUGGGAGCAGUCACUUGGAAGUUACAGGAUGGGGCUCAGUUCUGCCUUGAGUGUUCUCUGUACUCUGCCGUCUGUCAGCAAACAGGAGUGUUUCUCAAGCCCUAUGCUUAGUCUAAGCUAAGUGAACCCCUGGGCCGCUGCCUUCAAAGAACAAUCAGUCAGUCUGUCUGUCUAGAACAGUGGUUCUCAAUCUGUGGAUCGUGACCCUUCUAGGGGGUUAAAUAACCCUUUCACAGGGGUUGCAUAUCAGAUAUUUAUGAUUCAUAAUAGCAAAAUCACAGUAUGAAGUAACAACAAAAAUAAUUUUAUAGUUGGGGUCGCCACAACAUGAGGAAUUAUAUUAAUGGGUCGCAGCUUUAGGCAGUGGAGAACCACUGGUCUAGAGAAAUGAGACACAAGCACGCAAUUUUACAGAUGGCAAAGUGAGCCUUCCAAAUAGGAAAGGGCUUGUCUCAGAAAAGGUGGGGCCAGGACUUGAACUGGGUCUCCCCUUUCUUGGUUAAAUGUGAUUUGUAAAAACUACACACAGGUGGGGCUGGAGAGAUGGCUCAGUGGUUAAGAGCACUGCCUGCUCUUCCAAAUGUCCUGAGUUCAUUUCCCAGCAACCACAUAGAGGCUCACAACCAUCUGUAAUGAGAUCUGGUGCUCUC